AUUUCAGCUUUUCCUAAUGUGUCAUAUAAAAUCAUUAUUCAUCUUUGAAAUUGUUGAUGCUAGUUCCCGUUUGUCAACAUGGAAAUGUUGACUUAUUCUUAUUAUCUGUUGGAUAAGUCUUGUUUUAUCUUCUGAAAGCGAAGCAGCUAUAACAAAUAACUUGACUAUCAUCCUCUGCCCAGUCCUUUCCCCCUUUAUUACUUCCCCCACCCUCACUCAGAAUUCCAAUCAGCUGACUGUAAAGCACACACAAACGAAACUCGUCUUUGAAUCGUCGGCGUAAGCUUUAAACACUGAACUUUUACCGUCCCAACAAAUAUGUAAAUAUUUCUCCGUCAAAUAUGUACAGAACACCCGUCGCGGAUUGAGUAGGAGCUGCGAAGCUCAGAGCUUACCGUUCCAGAUUCUGGCACUGACGGCCGUUAUCUGUUCGAUUGUUGCCGGAGCUUGGAAAUGACGAGCUCCCGGACAGGGCUAACCCUAGGACGGCCAUCUGCUUCUCCCUUUACCGGCUAUUUUUUUAUUGCAUCGAAGGUACUGGCAGAACUGAGAAUGGAUUCAAGAAUAAAUAUUAUGAAAAGAGGAAGACUUUAUGCACUGAGUAUAGUUAUAAAUCAAAUCCAGACUGUUCUUCGUAAUUAAGAAUUAUAGAAAAAAAGUGUUUGACAUUAUGAACAAGAAAUAGCAAGCUGAAGAACAAGAAGAUUUGCUCGAAAACUGAAAAUGUAAAUAAUUCAUACAUUGUAGAAAUAUGCUUAACUUAAGAACAUACUUUUAUUCAUUCCCUACCUAUUUAAGUACAAUUUAUUUUAUUUAAUAAAAUUUUUCAAAACAUG